rnacentral:rRNA from 1 species
UGAGGAAUUUUGCGCAAUGGGGGAAACCCUGACGCAGCAACGCCGCGUGAGUGAUGAAGGCCUUCGGGUCGUAAAGCUCUGUCAAGUGGGAAGAAUCUGUCCGGUGAUAAUACCGCUGGGCAAUGACGGUACCGCUGAAGGAAGCACCGGCUAACUCCGUGCCAGCAGCCGCGGUAAUACGGGGGGUGCUGGCGUUAUUCGGAAUCAUUGGGCGUAAAGGGCGCGUAGGCGGUCUUUUAAGUCAGAUGUGAAAGCCCUCGGCUUAACUGAGGAAGUGCAUUUGAUACUAAAAGACUUGAGUAUGGGAGAGGGAAGCGGAAUUCCUGGUGUAGCGGUGAAAUGCGUAGAUAUCAGGAGGAACACCGGUGGCGAAGGCGGCUCACUGGAAUGUCACUGACGCUGAAGCGCGAAAGCGUGGGGAGCGAACG